AGUUAUUUGUAUUUAUACUUGGUCUACCAGCUCAGCAGCCUGGAGAUACAAAUGUAUCUUUUAACUGCGAUGUCAAACGUCUGAUAAAAUUCGAAUUGCUCUGUGGGAAGGGCACAACAAACAAAUGAAUCCGCGGCCACCCACAACAGCCCACUCACACAUGAACACACCGAGGCACACGGGAGAGAAAUCCACGCACAAGUGUCGGAGAGAGAGAAAUGUGUACACAAAAGCAGAAGUGGCGGGAAACGUUGCUAAUAUUUAUUUUCACCAACCCGCGAAAUCGCCCGGGGGGGAAAUGUUAAAAGGCGAAGAAAUGUGCUUUGGGGUCCGCCAGGUGAUGGGAUCUAAGAGAUUUUCCGAGUAUUUAAAAAUUGUCCGCACUUUUUGUUUCAACAACGACGGCGCGGGAUGUGAAGGAAGCUGAGUAGGAGCUUCAGUUUGACCUGCGUUUGCAGAUCGGGGAAGCAUUCCUUGAUGUUGCGCAGCACCUCCUUGUUCAGCUGCGAGCAGAUGGAGCCGUUUAUCCACGAGUCGUUCGAGGUGCCCAGUUUAUUAUGCAGCCACAGUGAUGUGUCGCUGUCCCUUACGUUCGCCAUUUUUUCGAAUUACGCCUGUCCGCACGCGGGGCACACACUGCAAUUUAUGCCAAACGUUGACCCGCCCUGUUGCACGGCACUAUUUGAUGGCGUUUUUCACUUUCUGCCGCGCUGCACGUCAACAAGACACACGAAAAAUCCUUCGAAAAAAUUGUAAUAGGAAGCGCACGCACACAUCAAACGCACGAAAAAAGUGUUGCCACAUGUCAAACAGUGUGCACGGUCCAGUGGUGCAAAACGCCGUUGU
ensembl:ncRNA lncRNA:CR44265 long non-coding RNA:CR44265